GGUUGAUCCUGCCAGUAGUCAUAUGCUUGUCUCCAUGCAUGUCUCAACUUUACUGUAAAACUGCGAACGGCUCAUCAUCAGCAAUAAUUUAUUGAUGAUUUCUUACUACAUGGAUAACUGUAGUAAUUCUAGAGCUAAUACAUGCGCAAAGUCCUGACUCGCGAGGGGAGGGAUGUAUUUAUUAGAUACAAAACCAAUGCGGGCUCUGCUCGCCAUUGUGUUGAAUCAUAGUAACUUAUCGGACGCCAUAGCCUUGUGCUGGGCGUAGAUCAUUCAAAUUUCUGCCCUAUCA
rnacentral:rRNA from 1 species